rnacentral:rRNA from 1 species
GGGGAAUAUUGGACAAUGGGCGAAAGCCUGAUCCAGGAAUGCCGCGUGAGUGAUGAAGGCCUUAGGGUUGUAAAGCUCUUUUACCCGGGAUGAUAAUGACAGUACCGGGAGAAUAAGCUCCGGCUAACUCCGUGCCAGCAGCCGCGGUAAUACGGAGGGAGCUAGCGUUGUUCGGAAUUACUGGGCGUAAAGCGCACGUAGGCGGCUUUGUAAGUCAGAGGUGAAAGCCUGGAGCUCAACUCCAGAACUGCCUUUGAGACUGCAUCGCUUGAAUCCAGGAGAGGUGAGUGGAAUUCCGAGUGUAGAGGUGAAAUUCGUAGAUAUUCGGAAGAACACCAGUGGCGAAGGCGGCUCACUGGACUGGUAUUGACGCUGAGGUGCGAAAGCGUGGGGAGCAAAC